rnacentral:rRNA from 1 species
GAACGCGAAGAACCUUACCAAGUCUUGACAUCCUUUGACCACUCUAGAGAUAGAGCUUUCCCUUCGGGGACAAAGUGACAGGUGGUGCAUGGUCGUCGUCAGCUCGUGUCGUGAGAUGUUGGGUUAAGUCCCGCAACGAGCGCAACCCUUAUUACUAGUUGCCAGCAUUGAGUUGGGCACUCUAGUGAGACUGCCGGUGACAAACCGGAGGAAGGUGGGGAUGACGUCAAAUCAUCAUGCCCCUUAUGACUUGGGCUACACACGUGCUACAAUGGAUGGUACAACGAGCAGCGAACUCGCGAGGGUAAGCGAAUCUCUUAAAGCCAUUCUCAGUUCGGAUUGUAGGCUGCAACUCGCCUACAUGAAGCCGGAAUCGCUAGUAAUCGCGGAUCAGCACGCCGCGGUGAAUACGUUCCCGGGUCUUGUACACACC